ensembl:lncRNA
ACUUCUUCUGACCCAGAUCAUGGCUCCCUCCCAACUUAAGCCACUUCUCAAUUCAGCUCAUCAUGUUCUUUUCAAACCGGGCAUAUGCUCCUGGGAAGCAUCCUGCCACUUGCAGGAUCUUGGUUCCUGGACCAGUGACUGAACUCCGGUCCCAGCAGUGGAAGCACAGAGUCCUAACCACUGGACCACCAGAGGAUUCCUGGGGAUCCAUUUUUCUUCACCACCUCCUGCAAAACCCACCCCUCCCUCUGCUAUGGAUGCCAUCACCUCUCUGCCCGCACCCAGGGGUCUCCCCUCCAGCUCCGGAGCGCCUUCUCCUCCCUCUGCCUGCUUUGCCGCUGACAGCUAGAAGAUUCCAAGCCAACCAUUUUGUAGAAGGUCCCUCGUCUGGGUUUGUUUGAUGUUUCCCUUUGAUUAAAUUCAGGUUAUACAUUUUUGAGAGGAAAUCACAGUUUCAUUUCUUCACAUGAAAAUAUUGAAUCCAUUUGGAAUUAAUUUGGGUAUAAAUGAUAUAUUUUUCCUCACUUAUAUGAAACACCUCCUUUAUCAUAUAGCAAAUAUUUAAUUGCAUAUCUUUUAUCUUUCUGCUCUUCAAAGCCAGUGUCACACUGUUUUAAUUACCCUGGCUUCGUAAUAUGCACCCCCCAAACACGGUAAUGAGC